rnacentral:rRNA from 1 species
UUGAACGCUGGCGGAAUGCUUUACACAUGCAAGUCGAGCGGCAGCGCGGGGCAACCUGGCGGCGAGCGGCGAACGGGUGAGUAAUGUAUCGGAACGUACCCCGUCGUGGGGGAUAACACAGCGAAAGCUGUGCUAAUACCGCAUACGUCCUGAGGGAGAAAGCGGGGGACCUGCAAGGGCCUCGCGUUAUUGGAGUGGCCGAUGUCGGAUUAGCUAGUUGGUGGGGUAAAGGCCUACCAAGGCGACGAUCCGUAGCUGGUCUGAGAGGACGACCAGCCACACUGGGACUGAGACACGGCCCAGACUCCUACGGGAGGCAGCAGUGGGGAAUUUUGGACAAUGGGCGCAAGCCUGAUCCAGCCAUUCCGCGUGAGUGAAGAAGGCCUUCGGGUUGUAAAGCUCUUUCGGCCGGGACGAAAUCGCACGGGUCAAUACCCUGUGUGGAUGACGGUACUGGAAGAAGAAGCACCGGCUAACUACGU